GGGCCGACACAGCCAAAUACCUCAUAAAGGGACAGUCCUGUUGGUGGAACGAAUUCGCCCUUAAAGUUUCAUCCUGGGCUCANGACGAACGCUGGCGGCGCGCCUAACACAUGCAAGUCGAACGGAGAAAGAAACAGCUUGCUGGAUCUAUCUUAGUGGCGGACGGGUGAGUAACACGUGAGCAACCUGCCCUUCAGAGUGGAAUAACGUUUGGAAACGAACGCUAAUACCGCAUAUCACCAUUGGAUGGCAUCAUCUGGUGGUCAAAGAUUUAUCGCUGAGGGAUGGGCUCGCGUCCGAUUAGGUAGUUGGUGAGAUAACAGCCCACCAAGCCGACGAUCGGUAGCCGGACUGAGAGGUUGAACGGGCACAUUGGGGCUGAUACACGGCCCAGACUCCUACGGGAGGCAGCAGUGGGGGAUAUUGCACAAUGGGGGAAACCCUGAUGCAGCGACGCCGCGUGAGGGAAGACGGUUUUCGGAUUGUAAACCUCUGUCUUUGGGGACGAAGAAAUGACGGUACCCAAGGAGGAAGCCACGGCUAACUACGUGCCAGCAGCCGCGGUAAUACGUAGGUGGCAAGCGUUGUCCGGAAUUACUGGGUGUAAAGGGAGCGUAGGCGGGAAAGCAAGUUGAAUGUUUAAACUAUCGGCUCAACCGGUAGUCGCGUUCAAAACUGCUUCUCUUGAGUGGAGUAGAGGCAGGCGGAAUUCCUAGUGUAGCGGUGAAAUGCGUAGAUAUUAGGAGGAACACCAGUGGCGAAGGCGGCCUGCUGGGCUCUAACUGACGCUGAGGCUCGAAAGCGUGGGUAGCAAACAGGAUUAGAUACCCUGGUAGUCCACGCUGUAAACGAUGAUUACUAGGUGUGGGUGGACUGACCCCAUCCGUGCCGGAGUUAACACAAUAAGUAAUCCACCUGGGGAGUACGACCGCAAGGUUGAAACUCAAAGGAAUUGACGGGGGCCCGCACAAGCAGCGGAGUAUGUGGUUUAAUUCGAAGCAACGCGAAGAACCUUACCAGGUCUUGACAUCAAGUGACGUGCUUAGAGAUAGGUACUUCCUUCGGGACACGAAGACAGGUGGUGCAUGGUUGUCGUCAGCUCGUGUCGUGAGAUGUUGGGUUAAGUCCCGCAACGAGCGCAACCCUUAUCAUUAGUUGCUACGCAAGAGCACUCUAAUGAGACUGCCGUGGAUAACACGGAGGAAGGUGGGGAUGACGUCAAAUCAUCAUGCCCUUUAUGACCUGGGCUACACACGUACUACAAUGGCACUCAAACAGAGGGAUGCAACGUCGCGAGGCGAAGCGGAACCCAAAAAAGUGUCUCAGUUCAGAUUGUAGGCUGCGACUCGCCUACAUGAAGUCGGAAUUGCUAGUAAUCGCAGAUCAGCGUGCUGCGGUGAAUAAGUUAACCGGGGCUGUACACACCGCCCGUCAAGGGCGAUACACGCCGGUGAUUCAUUCGCCCAUAUGUAUCCUGGAAA
rnacentral:rRNA from 1 species